rnacentral:rRNA from 1 species
GUUUGAUCCUGGCUCAGGACGAACGCUGGCGGCGCGCCUAACACAUGCAAGUCGAACGAGCGAGAGAGAGCUUGCUUUCUCGAGCGAGCGGCGAACGGGUGAGUAACGCGUGAGGAACCUGCCUCAAAGAGGGGGACAACAGUUGGAAACGACUGCUAAUACCGCAUAAGCCCACGGCUCGGCAUCGAGCAGAGGGAAAAGGAGUAAUCCGCUUUGAGAUGGCCUCGCGUCCGAUUAGCUAGUUGGUGAGGUAAUGGCCCACCAAGGCGACGAUCGGUAGCCGGACUGAGAGGUUGAACGGCCACAUUGGGACUGAGACACGGCCCAGACUCCUACGGGAGGCAGCAGUGGGGAAUAUUGCACAAUGGGGGAAACCCUGAUGCAGCGACGCCGCGUGGAGGAAGAAGGUCUUCGGAUUGUAAACUCCUGUUGUUGGGGAAGAUAAUGACGGUACCCAACAAGGAAGUGACGGCUAACUACGUGCCAGCAGCCGCGGUAAAACGUAGGUCACAAGCGUUGUCCGGAAUUACUGGGUGUAAAGGGAGCGCAGGCGGGAAGACAAGUUGGAAGUGAAAUCUAUGGGCUCAACCCAUAAACUGCUUUCAAAACUGUUUUUCUUGAGUAGUGCAGAGGUAGGCGGAAUUCCCGGUGUAGCGGUGGAAUGCGUAGAUAUCGGGAGGAACACCAGUGGCGAAGGCGGCCUACUGGGCACCAACUGACGCUGAGGCUCGAAAGUGUGGGUAGCAAACAGGAUUAGAUACCCUGGUAGUCCACACCGUAAACGAUGAUUACUAGGUGUUGGAGGAUUGACCCCUUCAGUGCCGCAGUUAACACAAUAAGUAAUCCACCUGGGGAGUACGACCGCAAGGUUGAAACUCAAAGGAAUUGACGG